rnacentral:rRNA from 1 species
GCCUAAUACAUGCAAGUCGAACGCUUCUUUUUCCACCGGAGCUUGCUCCACCGGAAAAAGAGGAGUGGCGAACGGGUGAGUAACACGUGGGUAACCUGCCCAUCAGAAGGGGAUAACACUUGGAAACAGGUGCUAAUACCGUAUAACAAUCRAAACCGCAUGGUUUUGAUUUGAAAGGCGCUUUCGGGUGUCGCUGAUGGAUGGACCCGCGGUGCAUUAGCUAGUUGGUGAGGUAACGGCUCACCAAGGCCACGAUGCAUAGCCGACCUGAGAGGGUGAUCGGCCACAUUGGGACUGAGACACGGCCCAAACUCCUACGGGAGGCAGCAGUAGGGAAUCUUCGGCAAUGGACGAAAGUCUGACCGAGCAACGCCGCGUGAGUGAAGAAGGUUUUCGGAUCGUAAAACUCUGUUGUUAGAGAAGAACAAGGAUGAGAGUAACUGUUCAUCCCUUGACGGUAUCUAACCAGAAAGCCACGGCUAACUACGUGCCAGCAGCCGCGGUAAUACGUAGGUGGCAAGCGUUGUCCGGAUUUAUUGGGCGUAAAGCGAGCGCAGGCGGUUUCUUAAGUCUGAUGUGAAAGCCCCCGGCUCAACCGGGGAGGGUCAUUGGAAACUGGGAGACUUGAGUGCAGAAGAGGAGAGUGGAAUUCCAUGUGUAGCGGUGAAAUGCGUAGAUAUAUGGAGGAACACCAGUGGCGAAGGCGGCUCUCUGGUCUGUAACUGACGCUGAGGCUCGAAAGCGUGGGGAGCAAACAGGAUUAGAUACCCUGGUAGUCCACGCCGUAAACGAUGAGUGCUAAGUGUUGGAGGGUUUCCGCCCUUCAGUGCUGCAGCUAACGCAUUAAGCACUCCGCCUGGGGAGUACGACCGCAAGGUUGAAACUCAAAGGAAUUGACGGGGGCCCGCACAAGCGGUGGAGCAUGUGGUUUAAUUCGAAGCAACGCGAAGAACCUUACCAGGUCUUGACAUCCUUUUGACCACUCUAGAAAAUAGAGCUUCCCCUUCGGGGGCAAAGUGACAGGUGGGUGCAUGGGUUGUCGUCAGCUCCG